rnacentral:rRNA from 1 species
UGAGGAAUUUUGCGCAAUGGGAGCAAUCCUGACGCAGCAACGCCGCGUGGGUGAUGAAGGCCUUGGGUCGUAAGCCCUGUCAGGUGGGAAGAAUGUCCUGGAAUUGAACAAGUUUCGGGAGUGACGGUACCACCAGAGGAAGCACCGGCUAACUCCGUGCC